rnacentral:rRNA from 1 species
AAUGAACGUUGGCGGCAUGGAUUAGGCAUGCAAGUCGAGCGAGAAGAGUUUUGAAGCUUGCUUUAGAACUCGGACAGCGGCGAAAGGGAGUGUAACGCGUAGUUAUGUGCCCUAGGGUCCGGAAUAGCCACGGGAAACUGUGGGUAAUGCCGGAUAAUAUCCCCGGAUCAAAGGUGUGAUUCCGCCCUAGGAGCAGACUGCGUCCUACUAGCUAGUUGGUGGGGUAAUGGCCCACCAAGGCAAUGAUGGGUAGCGGGUGUGAGAGCAUGACCCGUCUCACUGGGACUGAGACACUGCCCAGACACCUACGGGUGGCUGCAGUCGAGAAUCUUCGGCAAUGGGCGAAAGCCUGACCGAGCGAUGCCGCGUGCGGGAUGAAGGCCCUCGGGUUGUAAACCGCUGUCGUAGGGGAGGAAGGUUCCGUGAAGAGCGGGACUUGACCUAUCCUAGGAGGAAGUACGGGCUAAGUUCGUGCCAGCAGCCGCAGUAA